rnacentral:rRNA from 1 species
AUAUAUGGCUUUAAAGUUUUACAUUUUCUGAUCUCAGAAGCUAAGCAGGAUUGGGCCUGGUUCGUACUUGCAUGGGAGACCACUUAGGAAUACCAGGUACUGUAGGCA